rnacentral:rRNA from 1 species
UACGUAGGGUGCAAGCGUUAAUCGGAAUUACUGGGCGUAAAGCGUGCGCAGGCGGCUUUGUAAGACAGGUGUGAAAUCCCCGGGCUUAACCUGGGAACUGCAUUUGUGACUGCAAGGCUGGAGUGCGGCAGAGGGGGAUGGAAUUCCGCGUGUAGCAGUGAAAUGCGUAGAUAUGCGGAGGAACACCGAUGGCGAAGGCAAUCCCCUGGGCCUGCACUGACGCUCAUGCACGAAAGCGUGGGGAGCAAACAGG